rnacentral:misc_RNA from 1 species
AGAGGACACAUCGGUGCAGUUUAAAAAAAUUUGUUUGACUUGCAUAUUUUUACUGCCCUGAAAAUUAGCUCGCGUUGACUUGUAUGUGCUUGCUUAUAAAUAAAAGCUUUUAUUUACUACACUCACACCUGCAGCGACGACACGACACCUUGUUAGUGAGUUAUCACACAUACAUACAAAUAAAUAAAGUAUUGGCUUUUUGUUUAUUAACAAAUUGACAGAGAUUUUGCGCGCUUUUGACGAACAUUUUGUAUGCUCAGUGUUUAUUUGGUGCUCCACACCGCCGGUUGCUGACAACGAGCACGAAAACAGAAGCGAACAAACCGAAACAAAACGUGGCGGAGCGAAAAUAACUGAAAAGUCGAAAAACACUUGAAUGCCUGCGAUUUGGUGGCUAUCGUCAUCAAAUUGAUUGCUGCUAUUGUUGUUUCUAAUAAAGUGCCUUUUCGAACGCUAUACUAUCGAGCUUGAGGUUAUGUCUUUACAAUUAAUUACAUUUUAUUUAUUGUGAAAUCGCUGAUAUGCCAAAAAAGUGCCGCAAUUGAGGAAUUGUGAAAAAUUAACAAAUUUUCUUACUUAAAAAAGCAAACAAAAAACAACAGCAAAAUAAUUACAAUUAAAACAUAAACAAGUGAGCAGUGCCAGUGCUUUUGCCAUGAAUUCAGUGUGGAGAGUGGGCAUUUUCGCUAAAAAUGCAGCCGCAGCCAUAACAACACCAUGCCAUGUUGGGUCGAGCACUCGUUUCAGGUACGCGAGCAUUGCAACAGGUGUCGCAGAGCCCAAAACACAACUGCCGGACGCCAAGCUAGCGUCAGCAUCAAAAACAGUCGCCGCGGCGGAACCAGCUCCGAGCUUUAACCAACAGCGCAUUUUAAAUAAGGCACAGGUUAAGCCGAUAAGCAGUCAACCGUUGACAGACACUUUUGGACGUCACCACACAUAUCUGAGGAUCUCAUUGACCGAGCGUUGCAAUUUGCGCUGUCAAUACUGUAUGCCAGCCGAAGGUGUACAACUGCAACCGAAAUCAAAUCUACUAACCACCGAAGAAAUUCUCUACUUAGCGCGAAUUUUCGUUGAGCAAGGGGUGCGUAAAAUUCGUCUAACCGGCGGUGAGCCAACGGUACGACGCGACAUAGUCGAUAUCAUAGCACAAAUAAAGUCCAUACCCAAACUGGAGAGCGUCGGUAUUACUACAAAUGGCUUGGUAUUAACACGUCUCUUGCUGCCGAUGCAGCGUGCCGGCCUGGAUGCGGUGAACAUUAGUUUGGAUACGUUGCGCCCGAAACGUUUCGAGGAAAUCACACGUCGCAAGGGUUGGGGGCGCGUUAUAGCCGGCAUUGAUUUGGCCAUACAGCUGGGCUACAAGCCGAAGUUGAACUGUGUGCUUAUGCGCAAUUUCAACGAAGACGAAAUUUGCGAUUUUGUUGAAUUCACCAAAGAUCGUGCAGUGGAUGUGCGUUUCAUAGAGUAUAUGCCAUUCACGGGCAACAAAUGGCAAACCGAUCGGUUGAUUUCUUUCAAGGAAUCAUUGGACAUUAUACAGAACAGAUGGCCUGACUUCGCGGCGCUGCCCAAUGGCCCAAAUGACACAUCGAAAGCGUAUGGCGUACCUGGCUAUAAAGGGCAAGUGGGCUUCAUAACAUCUAUGACGGAGCAUUUUUGCGGUUCCUGUAAUCGUUUGCGGCUCACCGCAGACGGAAAUAUUAAAGUGUGUCUAUUUGGCAAUAAAGAAUUUUCGCUACGUGACGCUAUACGCAAUAAUUGCUCCGAAGACGAUCUGAUAACUUUGAUUGGAACGGCCGUGAGUCGAAAGAAGAAGAAGCACGCUGGCAUGUUGAAUUUGUCACGAAUGGAAAAUCGUCCAAUGAUACUAAUCGGUGGAUAGUUUUAUGUACGCUUUAGAAUAUACAAACAUAAAUACCUGCGAGCGCUGCUUAAAAAUACGAUAAAGAUAAUUUCAUUCAUGAUAAUAUCACAGCAGAAAUGCAUCACAACUCUCGCGAAACUUUUGACAUUCGAAAGCAACAAAGGAUUCAUUCUCAACGAUAUCGCAACUACAUUGCAUCGCCCGACACAUUACCCGUUUUUACUAAUCUAAUGGGCGCACAGUUAACCACAAAAUAUCUGACACAAGCACGCCUUUACUCUAAAACGAGCUCCAAUAGAAAUUCAGACAAUAACAGCGCAAAUUUAACGCACGUUGACUAUGCUGGCAAAGCUCAAAUGGUGGACGUCACCGCGAAGCAAAGCAGUGAACGCGUAGCCGAAGCACGUGCCACUGUGAUAGUGGGCCCGACUAUUGCUCAACUUAUACACGUAAACAACAUGAGCAAAGGUGAUGUGCUUAGUGUGGCCCAAUUGGCUGGCAUAAUGGGCGCCAAGAGAACUUCGGAACUAAUACCGCUAUGUCACAACAUUUCAUUAUCCUCCGUAAAGGUUGAGGCGAAGUUAAAUCUUGUAAGCAAUAGCGUGGAACUGUUUGGUCGUGUGAAGUGUACAGGUCAAACGGGUGUGGAAAUGGAGGCACUGACGGCUGUUACAUUGGCCGCGCUUACCGUUUACGAUAUGUGUAAAGCCGUCUCACACGACAUAACAAUUACAGAUAUAAAACUUUGGGCCAAAAGUGGGGGUAAAAGGAAUUUUGAACGUAGUAAAAAUUAGAUAAAUUAAAUUUAUAAUAUCAAUAUGUAAAUUGCAUUACAUUAACGUUAUAAAAUAAUGAUUUCAUGUACCGUAGUAAUGAAAUUAACAGAUCAUGAAAAAUUGUUGAAAACUAAUUUUGUUAUUUAAAAAGGUAAAGUCUGAUAUGAACAAAAUAUCAAUUAAUUUUGUGGGGUUCCAUCCAUACAUUUAUAUAUACAUAUAUAAUUUUUACCAAAGAUAUGAUAUAAGGUGUUAGGUAUGUUAUUUAUUAGACCCAUAGACAAUUUAAAUAAGAGGUGAGGGAAAGUAUCCAUUCUAUUUUUAGAUAUUAUUACAAAACAUUUUUUUGUUUUUAAAAAAAUAUUUUAAUUAAAUAUACAUAUACAA